rnacentral:misc_RNA from 1 species
AAAAUAGGGGUGGUGAGACUAUUAAAGUUCGUCAACAACAAUAAUCAAAAUUAAAUGGUGAUAAUGAAGAUGAGUGUUCACCUCUUUGUGUUCCCCAGCUUAGUGGCUUUCUUCUUCUGUCUCUCUCAAGCAAAAUCAAUUACUUCAACUUCAACAAAACCCCUAAUUUACAUCGAAACCAAUCAGAGCACCGCUGCUGCUGCUAGAAGCUGCUCAUACA